ensembl:snRNA U2 U2 spliceosomal RNA
AUCGAUCCUCAGCCUAUUGGCUAAGAUUAAGGGUAGUAUUUGUUCUUAUCGGUUUAAUAAUGCCCUUAUCAAUUUUUGAUUACAGGAUUAUUUUGAUUUAAUUGGACUAGUU